AGCAGUCGCCACGGGAAUACGUAGGUGGCAAGCGUUGUCCGGAAUUAUUGGGCGUAAAGGGCUCGCAGGCGGUUUCUUAAGUCUGAUGUGAAAGCCCCCGGCUCAACCGGGGAGGGUCAUUGGAAACUGGGAAACUUGAGUGCAGAAGAGGAGAGUGGAAUUCCACGUGUAGCGGUGAAAUGCGUAGAGAUGUGGAGGAACACCAGUGGCGAAGGCGACUCUCUGGUCUGUAACUGACGCUGAGGAGCGAAAGCGUGGGGAGCGAACAGGAUUAGAUACCCCGUAGUCCCUGUCUCUUAUACA
rnacentral:rRNA from 1 species